UACAGAGGGGGCAAGCGUUGUUCGGAUUUACUGGGCGUAAAGGGCGGGUAGGCGGCCACUGCAAGUCGGUUGUGAAAUCUCCGGGCUUAACUCGGAAAGGUCAAUCGAUACUGCAGGGCUAGAGUGCAGAAGGGGCAACUGGAAUUCUCGGUGUAGCGGUGAAAUGCGUAGAUAUCGAGAGGAACACCUGCGGCGAAGGCGGGUUGCUGGGCUGACACUGACGCUGAACUGCGAAAGCUAGGGGAGCGAACGGG
rnacentral:rRNA from 1 species